GACGGAAGGUGCAAGCGUUGCUCGGAAUCACUGGGCGUAAAGGGUGCGUAGGCGGCCGUGCAAGUCUGGCGUGAAAGCCCCGGGCUCAGCCCGGGAAGUGCGCUCGAAACUGCGCGGCUCGAGUGCCGGAGGGGAGAGUGGAAUUCCUGGUGUAGCGGUGAAAUGCGUAGAUAUCAGGAGGAAUACCGGUGGCGAAAGCGACUCUCUGGACGGCAACUGACGCUGAGGUGCGAAAGCGUGGGGAGCAAACAGG
rnacentral:rRNA from 1 species